GCCUGGGUAGCUCAGUGGUAGAGCUCCUGACUAGAGUUUCAGGGGUCCCGGGUUCGAUUCCUGGUCCAGCCA
rnacentral:tRNA from 1 species